UACAGAGGUCCCAAGCGUUGUUCGGAUUUACUGGGCGUAAAGGGUGCGUAGGUGGCGAGGUAAGUUUGAUGUGAAAUCUCCGAGCUCAACUCGGAAACGGCAUUGAAUACUAUCCCGCUUGAGGGUCGGAGGGGAGACUGGAAUUCUCGGUGUAGCAGUGAAAUGCGUAGAUAUCGAGAGGAACACCAGUGGCGAAGGCGACUAUCUGGACAGAUACUGACACUGAGACACGAAAGCGUGGGGAGCAAACAGG
rnacentral:rRNA from 1 species